AUACCUUUCUCGGCCUUUUGGCUAAGAUCAAGUGUAGUAUCUGUUCUUAUCAGUUUAAUAUCUGAUAUGUGGGUCAUGUGUCUACAACGAUAUUAAAUUUAUUUUUUAUGGGGGAGGGUCCACCAUAGUGGCUUGCCAUUGGGGGGCCCUUGCGUGUCACCCGGGCGUUGCACUACUGUCCGGUGCCGGGCGCACCCCAA